GGUCCCAGCUACUCGGGAGGCUGAGGCAGGAGAAUGGCGUGAACCCGGGAGGCGGAGCUUGCAGUGAGCCAAGAUCGCACCACCACACUCCAGCCUGGGCGACAGAGCGAGACUCCAUCUCAAAAAAAAAAAUUAAAAUUAAAAAAAAAAUAAAUUAUUCUCCAAACUUUUAGUAAGUCUGACAUUUUUCAUAAUUAAAAAAACAUAAAAUCUUUUCUAAUGAGAAUUGUAGGGCCAGAGGCACAGAGGGUUCCUGGGGAAAGAAUGUUCAAUAAACAGCAAGCAGCAACUUUUUCCUGUGUCAAGUCUAUUGGUCCUGCCAGGUGCCAGGAGCUGGAGGGUGAUGAAAAUGUUCAGACUCAUUGCUGCCCUCAGAUGGCUUGUGAUCUAACUGGGUAAGAAUCAAAUCAGUGGCAAUGCCAGUCAGGAGUGAAGCAACAAGGCCACAACAAUAUGUGGCAGUCACUCACCAGCCACCAGCCCACAGGAGCAGAGGCUCCUGGGACAUCUGGCCACAGAGAAGUCAACACAACUGGCUCCUAAGCUGCAAGCUUCUUGAAGACAUCUGAGUCCCUGUUCCCUCCCUACCCACAUCUCCAUACUUUUUAUGGUUGGUUACAUUUUUUGUUUUGUUUUGUUUUGUUUUGUUUUAGAGACAGUGUCUCGCUAUGUUGCCCAGGCUGGUCUCAAACUCCUGGACUCAAGUGAUCCUCUCUCAUCAGCCUCCCGAGUAGCCAGGAUUACAGGCAAAUGCCAUGCUGUUGGUGAAAUUUUGUUUAAUUUUUUAUCUUUAAUUAUGAUAUAUUUCAAGCAUAUGAAAAGGCACAGAUGUAAUGAACACCCGAGGACAUCCUAGACAACAGAUGUUAACAUCAUUUGCAUUUGUUUUGGAUAUAUUUUGUAAUAUAUCAACAUAGAUGGAGCAAAUCCUCACACCCUGACCCCAAGUCUUCCCGUUCCCUCCCACGCCGAAGGGAACCACUGUCCUAACACUAUUUAUCUCUCCCAUGCAUACUUUUGGACCUAUAAACACAGAAUAUUGUAAGACAAUGUAGUAAAACAAUAGAUUUCACACUUUUUACCACACUCAAUCCAUGAAAAGCAUUUUAUACUUUGACCCUGUAAACAUGCACGCACACACACACACACGUGCAUGCAUAUACGUAGACAUAUAUACCUGUGUAUGUGAGCGCAUAUGUAAUCUGAAACAAAAUUUUCAUGAAAUAACACUCUUAACUACUUGCGGUACAUUCUGAUUUUUUUUUUUUUUUUUUAAGAUGGAGGCAAGAGAAUCAUUUAACCCGGGAGGCUGAGGUUGCAGUGAGCGGAGAUUGCACCACUGCACUCCAGGUUGGGUUACAGACUUUUUCUUUUUUCUACAACCAUGACAAUCCCAACUCAGCUCAUAGGGACUAACAAGAAAGUGGACUCUACAGUCUCUAUAGCAACACUGGAGUGGAGGAGGCAAGCUAACUCUAAGUUGUUAUGUUGAUGGUGGCUGAUCAUCAGGCAUGUUUAGUACCAAAGUUCUCGAACAUGUAUGCUUGAAUGUACACCCUACAUGAUUUCUUUGUAAUGUUCUUUUUCCAUCCCAUGACUCCACCCAAAUUCUCCACUCACUAUCUCCCACUGUAUGGUUUUAUGGGGCUGCUCAUCCAAGGACCGUACUGGUACAGUAUUCUCAAUUCCUUCCAUUAUCAUAUUGUUAUAAUAAAAAUGUUAUUUUUGUAUCCUAGGUAACCCAA